GACGAACGCUGGCGGCGUGCUUAACACAUGCAAGUCGAACGGAAAGGCCCUGCUUUUGUGGGGUGCUCGAGUGGCGAACGGGUGAGUAACACGUGAGUAGCCUGCCCUUGACUUUGGGAUAACUUCAGGAAACUGGGGCUAAUACCGGAUAGGAGCUCCUGCUGCAUGGUGGGGGUUGGAAAGUUUCGGCGGUUGGGGAUGGACUCGCGGCUUAUCAGCUUGUUGGUGGGGUAGUGGCUUACCAAGGCUUUGACGGGUAGCCGGCCUGAGAGGGUGACCGGCCACAGUGGGACUGAGAUACGGCCCAGACUCCUACGGGAGGCAGCAGUGGGGAAUAUUGCACAAUGGGCGGAAGCCUGAUGCAGCAACGCCGCGUGCGGGAUGACGGCCUUCGGGUUGUAAACCGCUUUCGCCUGUGACGAAGCGUGAGUGACGGUAAUGGGUAAAGAAGCACCGGCUAACUACG
rnacentral:rRNA from 1 species